rnacentral:rRNA from 1 species
UACGUAGGGUGCAAGCGUUUGUCCGGAAUUAUUGGGCGUAAAGAGCUGUAGGCGGUUUGUCGCGUCUGCUGUGAAAUUUCGGGGCUCAACCCCGAACUUGCAGUGGGUACGGGCAGACUAGAGUGUGGUAGGGGAGACUGGAAUUCCUGGUGUAGCGGUGGAAUGCGUAGAUAUCAGGAGGAACACCGGUGGCGAAAGCGACUCUGGCGAUGCACUGAGAGCGAAAGCGUGGGGAGCAAACAGG